GGGGGUCACUUCUGUUUCUACAUUCCGCAGUUCCGUAUACAUAAGUGCCGUGCUGUAAUGGGUCCGUUUUUGAGAUUUCAAAUAUAAGAUUGGAUAUGAAACUUUGACAUCAAAUAUUUCCUAUUGAAUGAUGGUAGUUUCGAAAAAAACCAAUAAAAUAAUGUUAGAAAUACAAUUGUAUAUAUAUAUAUUAUUGGUGGGUAUU
rnacentral:lncRNA from 1 species